CAGCAUGCUCAAGAGAAAAAGAGCCAGAAUCAUGAAGCUCGUAUCAGAAAGAGAACUUCCUCAGACUUCAGGAGCAUCUAGAAGAAGGGGGAAAAUAGAGACCAUGAAAAGAACAUUAUUACUUUCCAUCUGCUGAAGAACUGUAGGAGGAAUUUAUGUUUUCUUUGCCAUUUUCUUUUAAGAUUGUACAAUUAAAGGAAAAGUCAGGAGGUGAAAGCUGAGAUGACUUGCACAAUAGAUGAGCAAGACUAAAACCCUGAAGAAAAUCUACCCCAGCUACCAAGGAUAAAGCUUCUUUUUCUUUUCUGUCUUA